rnacentral:rRNA from 1 species
UACGUAGGGGGCAAGCGUUGUCCGGAAUUAUUGGGCGUAAAGAGCGCGUAGGCGGUCCGAUAAGUCGGCUGUGAAAGUCAAGGGCUCAACCCUUGGAAGCCGGCCGAUACUGUCGGACUAGAGUCCGGAAGAGGCGAGUGGAAUUCCCGGUGUAGCGGUGAAAUGCGCAGAUAUCGGGAGGAACACCAAUUGCGAAGGCAGCUCGCUGGGACGGUACUGACGCUGAGGCGCGAAGGCGUGGGGAGCGAACGGG